rnacentral:rRNA from 1 species
UACGGAAGGCAGCAGUGGGGAAUAUUGCACAAUGGGCGAAAGCCUGAUGCAGCUAUGCCGCGUGUAUGAAGAAGGCCUUAGGGUUGUAAAGUACUUUCAUCGGGGAGGAAAAAACAAAACUAAUAAUUUUAUUUCUUGACGUUACCCGAAAAAGAAGCACCGGCUAACUCCGUGCCAGCAGCCGCGGUAAUACGGAGGGUGCUAGCGUUAAUCAGAAUUACUGGGCGUAAAGAGCACGUAGGUGGUUUUUUUAAGUCAGAUGUGAAAUCCCUGGGCUUAACCUAGGAACUGCAUUUUGAAACUGAAAUACUAGAGUAUCGUAGAGGGAGGUAGAAUUCUAGGUGUAGCGGUGAAAUGCGUAGAUAUCUGGAGGAUACCUGUGGCGAAAGCGGCCUCCUAAACGAAUACUGACACUGAGGUGCGAAAGCGUGGGGAGCGAAACAGGGAUUAGAUACC